UACGUAGGGGGCAAGCGUUGUCCGGAAUUAUUGGGCUUAAAGCGCGCGCAGGCGGCCUCUUAAGUCUGAUGUGAAAGCCCCCGGCUCAACCGGGGAGGGCCAUUGGAAACUGGGAGGCUUGAGUAUAGGAGAGAAGAGUGGAAUUCCACGUGUAGCGGUGAAAUGCGCAGAGUAUCAAGGAGGAACACCGGUGGCGAAGGCGGUUCUCUGGGCCUGUACUGACGCUGGAGGAGCGAAAGCGUGGGGAGCGAACAGG
rnacentral:rRNA from 1 species